rnacentral:rRNA from 1 species
UACGUAGGACCCAAGCGUUAUCCGGAGUGACUGGGCGUAAAGAGUUGCGUAGGUGGUUUGUUAAGUGAAUAGUGAAAUCUGGAGGCUCAACCUCACAGGCUAUUAUUCAAACUGGCAAACUCGAGAAUGGUAGAGGUAACUGGAAUUUCUUGUGUAGGAGUGAAAUCCGUAGAUAUAAGAAGGAACACCAAUGGCGUAGGCAGGUUACUGGACCAUUUCUGACACUGAGGCACGAAAGCGUGGGGAGCGAACCGG